GCCGCCGCCUGGGGGGGGUCACCUGGAGGUCAGACAGAGGUCAGCGCCAUGGAAACCCCCACAGGGGUAACCCCACAAAGUCAAGGUCCUAAACUCAGAAAUAUGUUAAUUUAUCUGUGUGUUUGCUAUUAAUAAUAUUUUGCUAUUGUCAGUAGCACUUGACUGUAGUGAUUUAGGGGACACUAAAUCUUAUGACUGGUCCAGAUACAUUUAAUUAAGGAGUUGGUAUGGGGUAAGGCUCCUUGCUUUGGUUGAGAGACAGACACCAAUGAACCCACAAUACACUACUGCUCGCGAACGUCGCUCCGUUGUUCACUAAUGGUUCAAGAGCGGCAUCUAGUGGUCAUGGUUGGAAGUACAAAGCAUUGUUUAAUUGAAAGUUCCAGUGUGUAGCAUCUAGCAUCAAUUUAGUUGCAUCUAGCGGUGAGGUUGCAGAUUGCAACCAACUGAUUACCACCCCUUAACCCUCCCUCGACUAGGGUGCCCUCUACUGGCCAUAAUGUAAGGUAAUUUAAAAAGAAUUGUAUCAUGGUCUAACUACAGCAUUGAGUAGCCAAACUUAAAGUGAUGGGGUUCCUGUUAAACGCCAUUAUCAUUGAAUCACCUGAAUACAUAUGAUAUUUUGGUGAGGGCAAAGAAAAUACUAGCCUUCACUUGCUAUAUGAAUUAUAUCUAAAGUUCUAUAUCGUUGAAAAGAUUAACUUACUAACCAGAUCCUGUUUUCUCAGGUUUCACAUGUUUGGGUGAAGGUUUACUUGAACAAUUUAUUAAUACCGGAGGGGGAUUUCAAGUGUUUUACGUGUCUUAUCUUUGAAGGCCAAAUAAACACCACUAAUGACACACCAGUUUUUUCCAAUUUGCUGAUUCACCGAAAUUGCACCAAUCAUGUUGGUGCUCCUUUAUUUGGUUUGCAUGUGUCUGGUCUAUCUAACAAAGGGCUGUGUGUGUGUGUGGCCUCGGCCAGGCAGUCUGUUGUUGCAAGGCAAACAUUUG